rnacentral:tRNA from 1 species
GGGCCGUUAGCUCAAUCGGCAGAGCUGGGGACUUUUAAUCCCUAGGUUCAGGGUUCGAGUCCCUGGCGGCCCA